rnacentral:rRNA from 1 species
CCUACGGGAGGCAGCAGUGAGGAAUAUUGGUCAAUGGACGAGAGUCUGAACCAGCCAAGUAGCGUGAAGGAUGACUGCCCUAUGGGUUGUAAACUUCUUUUAUAUGGGAAUGAAAUGUUCCACGUGUGGGAUUUUGUAUGUACCAUAUGAAUAAGGAUCGGCUAACUCCGUGCCAGCAGCCGCGGUAAUACGGAGGAUCCGAGCGUUAUCCGGAUUUAGUGGGUUUAAAGGGAGAGUAGGUGGAUUGUUAAGUCAGUUGUGAAAGUUUGCGGCUCAACCGUAAAAUUGCAGUUGAAACUGGCAGUCUUGAGUACAGUAGAGGUGGGCGGAAUUCGUGGUGUAGCGGUGAAAUGCUUAGAUAUCACGAAGAACUCCGAUUGCGAAGGCAGCUCACUGGACUGCAACUGACACUGAGGCUCGAAAGUGUGGGUAUCAAACAGGAUUAGAUACCCCAGUAGUC